rnacentral:rRNA from 1 species
ACGCGUGAGGAACCUGCCUCAAAGAGGGGGACAACAGUUGGAAACGACUGCUAAUACCGCAUAAGCCCACGACCCGGCAUCGGGUAGAGGGAAAAGGAGCAAUCCGCUUUGAGAUGGCCUCGCGUCCGAUUAGCUAGUUGGUGAGGUAAGGCCCACCAAGGCGACGAUCGGUAGCCGGACUGAGAGGUUGAACGGCCACAUUGGGACUGAGACACGGCCCAG